rnacentral:rRNA from 1 species
GGCAGGCCUAACACAUGCAAGUCGAGCGGAAACGAGUUAUCUGAACCUUCGGGGAACGAUAACGGCGUCGAGCGGCGGACGGGUGAGUAAUGCCUGGGAAAUUGCCCUGAUGUGGGGGAUAACCAUUGGAAACGAUGGCUAAUACCGCAUAAUAGCUUCGGCUCAAAGAGGGGGACCUUCGGGCCUCUCGCGUCAGGAUAUGCCCAGGUGGGAUUAGCUAGUUGGUGAGGUAAGGGCUCACCAAGGCGACGAUCCCUAGCUGGUCUGAGAGGAUGAUCAGCCACACUGGAACUGAGACACGGUCCAGACUCCUACGGGAGGCAGCAGUGGGGAAUAUUGCACAAUGGGCGCAAGCCUGAUGCAGCCAUGCCGCGUGUAUGAAGAAGGCCUUCGGGUUGUAAAGUACUUUCAGCAGUGAGGAAGGUGGUGUGCUUAAUACGCACAUCAUUUGACGUUAGCUGCAGAAGAAGCACCGGCUAACUCCGUGCCAGCAGCCGCGGUAAUACGGAGGGUGCGAGCGUUAAUCGGAAUUACUGGGCGUAAAGCGCAUGCAGGUGGUUUGUUAAGUCAGAUGUGAAAGCCCGGGGCUCAACCUCGGAAUUGCAUUUGAAACUGACAGACUAGAGUACUGUAGAGGGGGGUAGAAUUUCAGGUGUAGCGGUGAAAUGCGUAGAGAUCUGAAGGAAUACCGGUGGCGAAGGCGGCCCCCUGGACAGAUACUGACACUCAGAUGCGAAAGCGUGGGGAGCAAACAGGAUUAGAUACCCUGGUAGUCCACGCCGUAAACGAUGUCUACUUGGAGGUUGUGGCCUUGAGCCGUGGCUUUCGGAGCUAACGCGUUAAGUAGACCGCCUGGGGAGUACGGUCGCAAGAUUAAAACUCAAAUGAAUUGACGGGGGCCCGCACAAGCGGUGGAGCAUGUGGUUUAAUUCGAUGCAACGCGAAGAACCUUACCUACUCUUGACAUCCAUAGAACUUUCCAGAGAUGGAUUGGUGCCUUCGGGAACUAUGAGACAGGUGCUGCAUGGCUGUCGUCAGCUCGUGUUGUGAAAUGUUGGGUUAAGUCCCGCAACGAGCGCAACCCUUAUCCUUGUUUGCCAGCACUUCGGGUGGGAACUCCAGGGAGACUGCCGGUGAUAAACCGGAGGAAGGUGGGGACGACGUCAAGUCAUCAUGGCCCUUACGAGUAGGGCUACACACGUGCUACAAUGGCGCAUACAGAGGGCGGCCAACUUGCGAAAGUGAGCGAAUCCCAAAAAGUGCGUCGUAGUCCGGAUUGGAGUCUGCAACUCGACUCCAUGAAGUCGGAAUCGCUAGUAAUCGUGGAUCAGAAUGCCACGGUGAAUACGUUCCCGGGCCUUGUA